GGAGUUGAUGUAUUUUUCGUUAGGGAAAAUCAAGUCUGGAAUUGCAAAGUGGAAAUUACAAACUUUAGAGGCAUUUUUGUAAACUAAAUACACUAUACGUUUGCGUUUCCUGCUGUGCAGGAAAAUUCUCAGCAACAAGAGAGUGAUCAAAUUAAGAUCCUGUAUCUGUAGUUCCACAGAAAGGGAAAAACAACAGGAAACAACUCAAUGGUAAUGAUCCAGGCCCACUCACCACUCUACAGCUUUCUCCCUCUCUCAACCCAAAUGGCUCAUAUGGUGUUCUGUUUGGGACCACAGUACUGACAGAGACUUUAAAUGCAGUAUGACUGGUGUAUUAACUGAAUGUCUUUGGGGUUUGAGGAAGUUCCUUCUCAGGAAUUUAAAGUUAUUUGUAAUGAAAUUAAUUGAAUGAAGUUGUUUUAUUUAAGAUGUGAGCCUUAAAGAUGUGUUUGUUACGAGAAAAACUAGUUAGCAUUACUUUGCAGAAAUCGCUGAUUACCUUCCUGACUUUCUCCUCAUCUAAGACGUUUUUUUUAUGGAGAUCCACCUUCUACAUUUUUAAAAAUAAAUAGAUCAAAUUUAAUUUUACAGGAACAUUUACAAACUCAGCAACUCCACAAAAGUAUAAAAGAAAGGAGAUGAGACACUGCAACAACAACAACAAAAAACUGUGAUUACAGAAUGGCAGUUUUUGCAGUUGCAUUGCUGAGCUUUCUUACCAAGUGGCGCAGCGGUCUAAGGCACUGAAUCUCAAUGCAAGAGGCGUCACUACAGUCCCUGGUUCGAAUCCAGGCGGAAUCACAUUCGGCUGUGAUUGGGAGUCCCCAUAGGGCAGCAAAAAUUGGACAAGCGUCGUCAGGGUUUGGCCGAGGUAGACUGUCAUUGCAAAUAAGAAUUUGUUCUUAAUUAACUGACUUGCCUAGUUAAAUAAAGGUUAAAUAAAAAAUACGGUUGAAAAGUUAUUGACCUUUUGCUGUUAAUUUGAUUACAGCUCAAGCAUCGACGUUGAAAGCUGUAGAGAACCAGAUGAAAGCUGUAGAGAACCAGAUCGACCAGCUGCAGAAAGACAAUGGAAACACAAGAUGACAAAAAUGUGAAGUAGCUUUUUCAGUUGGACUUCAAGGUGAAACUCUUGGGCCACAUGACACCACAAUCAUAUUAGUCUAGAAGAAAGUCAAUAUAGACAUUGGCAACGGGUACAACACAAACACAGGAAUGUGUACAGCUCCAGUUGAAGGAGUUUACUACUUCCCGUUCAACUGCCUCAAGGGGAAAACCAAUAGAAUGAAUGUGAUGGAGGAUGGCGCAGCUAUUGGAUCUGAGCACAACUCCAGCGAUGACAUGGCGAGCAACGGGUUCAUCGUGUCCAUGAAGGUCGGAAAUCAGGUCUGGAUGACCCUCAUCAGUCACACUCACAUUCUUGGUGAGGAACUAUUGACCACAUUCAAUGGCUUUCUGCUCUUCCCCAUGUGAGUAGAGAGCCGGUGUGAGAAGGCUAUCCAUUUCACCUUGCAUAUGUGUCUUUACAGCCAAUGUAAGAAAACUCAUCUUUGCAUUAUACAUGAAUAGCUAACGAAUAAUGUGGGUGCUAUAUUCAAUUUACAUUACAUGUGCAAUAUGUAACAACGCAUCUUUAUUUUUGUUCUGAUUGAAGAUAAUGUAAAGAAAGCAUUUAUUUGAUCAAACAAAUAAAAUAUAUUCACAAUAAGAAUGUUCUUAGCUCGUAUGUUCUCUCUCUUCAUGAACUUUGUAGCUGUGGUAACUGUAUUAUAGGGACACACAGUCCAUCUGAAACACUAUUUCACUACACUGAAACAUGGUAUUAACACAUAUUCUGUUUGACCCUAACCCUGGAGAUUAAAUAAGUCUGUUGUUAUUGUUGUGUGUGUGUGUCUGAGAGAGCGAGAAUU